AGAGAUGAAGCGGGGGGGCGGGGUCUUGCUCUAUUGCCUACGCUGAUCUCA
ensembl:miRNA MIR6088 microRNA 6088